UUUCCUUUACUCUUCGUCUUCCUCAUUUCUUCUUCAUUUCUUUAUCUACUUGACAUAGAUUUUUCAGUACUUAAAGUCGUAUCUACAUGUGUUUCUGUGUCUCUUCUGGAAACAAAGAGAGAUAUUAAUAACAAUAAUUAUAAUACUUAAAAAGCAUAAAUCACAAGUUAUUAUUUUUCUCUACUAUAUAUAUUGAGAUCACUCCCGUCUUUAUCAAAUUCUUCUUCCUCUUACAUUUUCCCU